rfam:Gossypium raimondii Chr03_contig_67, whole genome shotgun sequence.
UAUUAAAAUUUCAUUCAUUUGUACUGUUAAAAAUUGGUGUGGUUGAUGGAAUAACCAAAUAGUGAUACAUGGUGUGCCACGUAUCCCUCAUGCUUACAUGGACCAAUUUUUAAUAUUAAAAAUAGAUGGAACUUUUAAUA